rnacentral:tRNA from 1 species
GGAGGAGUGGCUGAGCUGGUUUAAGGCACCCGACUUGAAAUCGGGCGCGGGCAUGUUCCCGCCGGGGGUUCGAAUCCCUCCUCCUCCGCCA